CUUAUCAAGAGUGGCGGAGGGACCGGCCCUGUGAAGCCCGGCAACCUGCGAAUGCAAGGUGCCAAAUCCGGCGGUGUGUAAUCGAAAGAUGAGG
rnacentral:ncRNA from 1 species